GACGUAGGGCGCGAGCGUUGUCCGGAUUUAUUGGGCGUAAAGAGCUCGUAGGCGGUUUGUCGCGUCGUCCGUGAAAACUCACAGCUUAACUGUGAGCUUGCGGUCGAUACGGGCAGGCUAGAGUUCGGUAGGGGAGACUGGAAUUCCUGGUGUAGCGGUGAAAUUCGUAGAUAUCGGGAGGAACACCGGUGGCGAAGGCGGUGAGCUGGGCAGUUGCUGACACUGAGGCGCGACAGCGUGGGGAGCAAACAGG
rnacentral:rRNA from 1 species